rnacentral:rRNA from 1 species
AUUGAACGCUGGCGGCAGGCCUAACACAUGCAAGUCGAACGGUAACAGAAAGCAGCUUGCUGCUUUGCUGACGAGUGGCGGACGGGUGAGUAAUGUCUGGGAAACUGCCUGAUGGAGGGGGAUAACUACUGGAAACGGUAGCUAAUACCGCAUAACGUCGCAAGACCAAAGAGGGGGACCUUCGGGCCUCUUGCCAUCGGAUGUGCCCAGAUGGGAUUAGCUUGUUGGUGGGGUAACGGCUCACCAAGGCGACGAUCCCUAGCUGGUCUGACAGGAUGACCAGCCACACUGGAACUGAGACACGGUCCAGACUCCUACGGGAGGCAGCAGUGGGGAAUAUUGCACAAUGGGCGCAAGCCUGAUGCAGCCAUGCCGCGUGUAUGAAGAAGGCCUUCGGGUCGUAAAGUACUUUCAGCGGGGAGGAAGGGAGUAAAGUUAAUACCUUUGCUCAUUGACGUUACCCGCAGAAGAAGCACCGGCUAACUCCGUGCCAGCCGCCGCGGUAA